AACUUUCAGCAAUGGAUCACUUGGCUCUCGCAUCAAUGAAGAACGCAGCGAAAUGCGAUAAGUAAUGUGAAUUGCAGAAUUCAGUGAAUCAUCGAAUCUUUGAACGCACCUUGCGCUCCUUGGUAUUCCGAGGAGCAUGCCUGUUUGAGUGUCAUUAAUAUAUCAACCUUCUCUUUUUGAGUGGUUUGGAUGUGGGGGUUUGCUGGCCUCUUAAAAGGUCUUGGCUCUCCUGAAAUACAUUAGCAGAACAACCCUGUUCAUUGGUGUGAUAACUAUCUACGCUAUUGAAUGUGAAGGGCAGUUUGGCUUUCUAACAGUCCUUGGACAAGCUCAUCAUUAAUGUGACCUCAAAUCAGGUAGGACUACCCGCUGAACUUAAGCAUAUCAAUAAGCGGAGGCU
rnacentral:misc_RNA from 1 species